rnacentral:lncRNA from 1 species
GAAUACUCUGGUAUUCCUCUGUUUCAGGGAUUGGGGCUAGCCACAAUUCUAUCACGGUGUGUUGAGGUCUGGGUUUAUUUCAACAUCUACUUUUGUGGAAGCAGAUAUCUUAUUUAAUUGAGAUGUGCUCCAAAUAAUUUUGAACUCUGGCUGUACUUAACUAUAACUUUACUCAAGAUUUUACAGUUAUUCAAAUACUAUUCCACAUAUAUUUUCUGUUGAUUCUUAAUGUGCCUUAAAGCUAAGGGAUAUAAAGUAGAAUCAUUAUUUGAUAUAAUGCAUGACUUAUGUGUGAUGCUGGUUAAAAAUUUUUUUAUCAUAAAAUUCAUUUUGGUUCUAGAAUAUUUAAAAAGAAAAAAGUGAAAUUAUAAACCAAAGAGAGUCAACUUUUUAUAUACCUACAAUGUUAGUAAAUAUUCUUCCAAAUUUUGUUGUUAGAUC